rnacentral:lncRNA from 10 species
GAAAAUUAUAGUAGAGUUAUGACUUUUUGUAGAGUAAUAUGUUCAUAGUAAUUUUAAAACUCUUAAAAUCUCAUAACCAAAAAUACCGUUCUGACUCUUGAAUUGUUGAAAUAAUUUUAGGGUCUUUAUACCACAUUUUAAGUAUUAGAGUCAUUAUUUUAGAAAGCUAUCAACUUAGGACAAUAAACAUCUUUACUAAACAUUUAAUAAUGUAUAAUCGGAAAAUGUACAAAAUUGAGAUUGCAAUAUAUAGAAUAUGUAUUCAUUCUAUUUAAGACAGAAUGAACAUUAAAUGUAAUUGUGCAUGAUUUACUGAAACUGUUUUUCCUAAACAUUCAUAUGACCUAUUCCUCCAUAUGACCUAUUCCUCCCCAAAAGUAUGUUAGUCAUGGGAGGGAACCUUAAAAAACAAACUCUUUGCAUAAUUUUUUCCUAUUCAUCCAACUUUCCCUUCCCCUUGAUAUAUUCACCCUAAAACCAUUGGUUAAGGUGGAAUUCCAUUGUACUUAGUUUCUGUUCUAUAGCCACAUUAAUCUUACAGAGUAAAUCUUUCAGAUAACAAUUGCAGUGGCCACUUUGGAACAAACAGAAAACUAAAGCUAUUAUUUUAGUUUAAGGCAGUAUCUAUAUGCAGGAUUUCCUUUCUCUUUGUAUGUGGGCCUUGAGCAUCUUCAGAUAAAGGAGAAGACAAAGCAACUGAUACAGUUGAAGGCUUGUUGCAUCACAGUCAUCUGCUUUAGAAUCAGAGAUGUUUGAGAACUUCACAUAAUUACUACCGGUCAUGGCCAUGGAAAAGAAGUGGGGGGAAAUACUGAAAAAAUAUGCAGUUCAAUAAGUAAAGAGAGUUAAAUCUUUUCCCAACUUCGUCAUCACUAAGAAGCCCAGUGUCAUCCCUUGCAUAUCAUAGCAUAGACAGAGAAUAUAUUCAUCUUAAUGGGAAAAGUCUUGAUUAUGGGAGAAUCAGCCAAUAUAUUCCCAAUGGGACAUAAACUCCAUGAAGAUGGGAGCCUCCUUUAUCAUAUUCACUAUUGCAUUCUCAGCACUUACUCAAAUAUUUACUGAGGAAACAAAUACUCAGCUUUAGGAGAACGCUGGCUGUGUUAAAGAUGUGACUAAUAAUUUACGAUAGGAAAAAGUAAAUGUGAAGGUGGGGAGUGACUAAUUUCACAAAAAUCUAUAAACACUCGAGGGACCUGAUGAGACUGAAAACAUCAAACACAGCCUCUGGGACAAGGAAAGUCUUUAAGAACUUUAGGGGUAUAUUAUUCUCAUACUCAAACACAUCUGCAGACCACCAAAGAUACUUCUCCUCGCAUCACUGUGAUCCUCUGGGCACAUCAGUCACAAAGAACCAGGCAAGUUAGUCCAACACGUUCACAUUUCUCCAAGUUGAUGCAAUAUCUGUGUACAUACUCAUACUCAGCAUAUGAAGAAUGAAGAACAAUUAGCAAAUUCCUUGCCUGAAUGUAUAAUUUUUCUCUUCCUAAAGGCUUUAAGUCUUCUGAAAAUUAAUAGAAGCAAGAAGGUGACAAAACUCUAUGGACACUCUUGGGCUUAAAUCUUGCCAGUCAAGUGUUUGAUCACAGACAAGAACUGACCCUCUCUGUGCUCACCAAAUGUCAUGCAGAGACUCUAUGACCUACUACCUCCUUGUGUUCUUCCUGCCUCUCUAGCUGUUCAGUUCAGACUUCUUAGGAGGUUCUCAGAGAUACCUCAAACUGCACAAGUCCAGGGGGAGAAUCUAGAACCUUUUCUAUACUGUAGAGGCUUUCUUGAAUGCCUCUUUGUCCCCACUGUAGCUCUUUUUGUUUAAACUUGUCAGUUGAUCUCUUAUGGCAGCCUUGCCCACCUUUGAUUUAUCCCUUAUACCAAGGUUUCUCAAUUUCCACAGUCUUGACAUUUGGUACUAGAUAAUCCUUUGUUGUGGGGGCUGUUAUGUGCAUUGUGAGAUGCUGAGCAGUGUCCCUGGCCUCUACCAGGAGAUGCCAGUAGCAUCCCGAGUUGUGACAAUCAAAAAUGUCUCUAGACAUUGCCAAAUGUCCCUCGGGGCAAAACUGUCACCUAGCUGAGAACCACUUCUCAAUCUGACCCUGAAUUAUCUUUGAGAAACCAAUAUUUACUGCAGUAUACCCUUAAAUAGUUGAGGGCUCCCAUUGUCUAUGAAUAAACUCCCUGGCAUGACAUAUUUUGCCUUUAUUAUAUCAUCCAACACCCCCCACCAGCACAGGCAGUUAGGUACCUUAUCUGCUGCUGACAGUCUCGUCCAGGGUUUGUCUGCCCUCCUGUCAUAGUCCUGCGCUUUUGCUACUUCCACGUAAUCACUGAAUCGUAUCAGAAUUUUUCUGUCUCUUAAUUCAUCAACAGUGGGUCUCUGAUUAAGCUAAAAUUAAAGAUCAUCAUAGUUAAGUAUCACAUGCCAAACUAGCUUUUUUGAAGUACUCUGAACAAACAGCACUUCUCUUAAAAAACAAAACAAAACAAAAAAAACCUGAAACUGGAAAAUAUAACCCAAAUACAAGCAAUCUCUAAUGUGAAGGGCUGAAAUUAUAUACUGUACUCUUAAAUCACAAUCCCCCUUCCUCCAACAUAUUUUAUCAGAAGGAGUCACACCCCCAGUAGUACAUAGCACCAGCUCAAGGAAUGGUUAGUGAAUUAACUUAGAUUUUAUGGCAUCACUGGCUUCAGAUACAAUUAGAUAAGCUUUUUAAAAGUACUAAUAAAGUUAUUAUAUGUCCAGCUUAGGAAGGAUAUUCUGUUAAUUUCAAGAGAAUUAUUAUGGAGCAGCACAACGAAGAAGGGGAAUCCAGAACACUUGAAUUUAGAAAUGGUCAAGGCUUUAAAAGUAGAUUAAGAUUUAUAGAGUUGCUACCUGUAUUGGCCAUAGUAAAUGUUAACUGUUUGAGUCACAGAGAACAAACCUUUGAGUCUAAUAAAGCUUUCUGCAACUGAGGAACUUCUAGACAUAUUGGAGGUGAACAAAAGCGAUGAGUGUAAAAUGUGACUAAAACACUGAUACCCAGGUAUGCUUUUCCUAGACACUGUAAAUUAAGAAAAUGCCAAUCAACUUCUGGCUUCCACCUGAACAUAAGUAAAAAAUGUCAUGUGCAUUGUGCACCUCUCCAAGUGCUACCGUGCUAGGGAAGGACUUCGUCCAUAGGGAACGUCAGAGGGAGUUAAUUCAUUGUUGCUGAGCAAAUAUCCUGAUUUAACUGAUGCCAUGAUGUCCAGGAGAACAUUAUUCAUGAUCACAGAGUGAUACCUAGCAUUACCCAUCCCACCUGCUACCGAAGCAGCUGUUCUCUAGACCACCUUUUAUUAUUCAGGCAAUAAAAUGCUUAUACUACCUUUCUUGUCAAUCUUUGCUUGAUUUCUCUUCUUUCUUCCUGCUCUGUCUGAUCAUUCCUUUCUGUGAAAGAUUAAAAUAGGAAAAAAAAAAUAACAAAGAGAAACAGGUUGAAACGUUCUUCUCUUCAGCAGGGAAGUGUUCCCAAGAUAUCCAUAUUUCUGGGAGCUGAAGUUAAUUCCACAUCACUCAUGGUGUUUUCUUCCCACUUUGUCAGUCACUGCUCAGGAGAUCAUGGUCUCAUUACACAGAAAUACUUGUACUAAGCAAAGCUUUGCUGUCAUCCCAACCUGGUCUCCUCAGCCCUUCUGUGCAUUAGAAACAACCACAGAUAUGGCUGCUGUUUGUUUAAGGAAGUAGACACCUCUGUGUCUGUCUUUCUCCCCAAAUAUCUUUAUAUUUACAUCUAGCACUUAGAUGCCACAUAAAAAAAGCUGUAGUAGACUAAGUAAAUAAAUGUAUAUGUACAUUUCAAUAUAAAUAGCACUGCCACUAAUUUUUUUCCUUAAUAAGCGUACAGACUUUUUAACCAACAUAAAACAUGGAACACCUUCUUCAGCUCCUGGGCAGCAUAUGCUUGCCUGGAAUUUAUAUGUUCAGACUAUAUUUCAAAUCUUAACACAUCUAUGAACCUCGCUGACUCUCCAUUGCUGAAGCGUGAACACUGUUAUAUGACAGUGCCUUUUAAAGGAGCCCAAGUCCCUCAGCAAAAUUAGCUUUGCUUGGUAAGUUGUGACUAUUAACAUUCAAGCUGUGCUCGCACCUACCCUUGGAAGCCAAAAAUAGACGAAAGUGCUGAGAUAUAGUAUAAAACGUAAGCUUCCCCCUGGGAUACAAGAUAAUGGCUGUCCUAUUUCUGGUGUUCUCUGUUGCUAAAUAAAGCCUUAUGUCCCUGACCUGAACAUAGCUCCAUUCCUAGGAAAGAGAUUUCAACAAUCAGCACUCCUAGAAACACUGGUAGGUUUUGGUAAGGGAAAUCCUGCCACUUGCAAUUAACACAAUUUCACAUUAUCUGCCUUUAUGUAAAAGAUGCGUUUCAAAUAUUUAUACAUUUGUGGGAUUGGUUAUAUGAGAGUUUAAUAUAUUGUGCUUUCCAGUAAUUUUUUUUAAGUGAGUCAUCUUGGAUUAGGGUGUUUUAGAAAAGGUAAUGAAAUCCUCUUUCUGCUUAAUUCUUUAUACAAGUGAGAAACCAGAAGAAACCAUACUUUUAAGGUAUCAUCAGAAAGCUGAUACAAUUAGAGAGACAUUGUGAAAGUGUCCAGACAAGGCAAGCCAUGAGGGAUUUACGUGACGUAAAAUGUUUCAGAUUUCUUUAAAAUAGGCCAUGGGCAGCUCCCAAGUGCAGCUUCCAUGUGAAAAGAUUGAAACAAAGUCAGAUCUUUUUUUUUUUUUUAAUCCUGAAAAAUGCCAUAAUUACUACGAAGGUCACCAGCAGGGUCUUUGGAGAACUGAUCUUUGAAAGUUCCUGUCAGAGUGCUGCUUUGUGCCAGGCGCUCUGUUGGAGACCUCCUCCAAGAAGUCCUCCCUGUUAGCCUAAGCCCACAGACCUCCCCUUCUGAGCUCCCCUUAGUGAUAUGUUUAUGGAUUUCUUAUUUCCAGACCCAGAACACCCUCUGCAUUAUACAAAGCAAGGGACCCAUAAUCAGGACUGCUAUACUCAUAUUUUCUGGAAAUAGCUCCAGCAGCUUGGACAGUUAUACCUGAGACUUCCAUGAAUAUCCAGAAAUGUAUUACUGCUUCUGAUGCAGUAGUUAAGAAGAUGGGCAAUGGAGUUAGGCAGACCUGGGGUUGAACUCUAGUGCUAUCCUUUUCCCAAUAUUCAUUUAUUAAAAAGUGCAAACCUCACAAAUAUGUUGCAAUGAUUAAAUGAGGGAAUAUAUACCAAGUACUGAAUAUAGUCCCUGGCACAGAUUGGGCCUAAUAAAGAAUUACCAUCACCAUAUAAAGGGACCCCUGCUCUUCUGCUUUUCUAUCCACGUUAUAGUGUUAUAUGGGCGGAGUUUUGAGUGCUCCUCAGAUAUGACUGCAGUUAGUCAUGAGUUCCCCCUUGAAGCAAAUACAAAAGUGAUAUUCUAAGAAUUGGUUACAAGAAGAAAAUACAAUACAGUAUGAGUGCUUGAAGUCCUGUGUAUCUAGAGCCUAUGAGUAUGAUGUUUCAUACUAGGCUAUAUAUAGUUACCCUAUUCUCAUCUCCACAGAACAAAAGUAAAACCAAACACCCACCACAAACCUAGCAGUAAAAUUCUCAGGUCCUUCCACUCAGGACACUAGAGAGGGCUUCCGAGCUAAGGACAAACCUACAUUCACUGAUGAAGGCACAGUGUUUAUGGCGGGAUUGCCAUGGCCACCGCAGAGGAAACCCAUUUUCCCUUUCAUGCACUGAAGGUAAGGGCAGUCAGUUUCAGUUAUGCAUUUGCUAGCUCCCUAUUCACCAAAGAUAGUUCUAUUUCUAAGGCUCUGAUAUUUAUUUCCAAAGAUUAACACAAUUAGAAGUACUUGCUGAUGGGAAGACCUGGUUGCCCACGAUAGGAAGGAAGAGGCUGCUACUGAAAGAAGACAUGGUUCCUGGGUUAAAGGUCUGGGCUGUAGUACUCUCUUCCUGUUGCUGACAGCAGGCUACUUGGAAUGUGGUGCUUCCUGUGUCUUGAACUUGCCUGGUUCAAGUCUGGACUGCUACUUUUAGUAGCAUCUGCAACUUACAAGCUUUAUAAAUAAGUGACUUAAUUUUUAAAAAUUCAAAUAUUUGGCAACUGAAACAGCUUGACUUUUCUGUCUGCCUACUUAAUUAAGCAUGUUAUCAAUGAAGAGCUUUUCUUUAAAUCCUCAGAGAUGGUAUAGUUAACAUAGAACAGUAGUCACUAUAUCUUAAGUUUAAAAAGUAAAAUGAAGAAGUCUUUAUCUGAGGGUUAUUUUCAACAAUCUAUAAAGGAGGGGAUUGUUUUAGGCAGUUAAUGAAGGCACUGAGGCAAAGAAAGGAGGGAGGAAUCAAUUCAAGUUCAGUACCCAGACCAACAAGGGGCUCUGCGGUAUUUUCUGACAGAAAGUCAGCUUGGUACCAUUAUAACUUCAUAAAAAGAUGUUCACAAAUAAGAAAACAAACUCAGAGAAAGUCUGCAGUAUUCAUCACAUAAAGAGAAAAAAAGUCCUUUAAAAAUCCAAGCCAUUAGAAGACACUUUCUGUGGAAAAUGUUUUAAAAACUGAAAAUGACUAGAUAAAGAACUAUUGGAGAAACACUUUUUCAAGAGGUUUGGCCACCCCUAAAUCACUGACUUUAUGGAAUAUUUAAUGGAAUAUAGUGCCCUAGAGCAUGGAGGUUACUCAUGAACACCUAUGCUCAGCAUAUGCUAUAAUUGUCCACCUAACGGGAAAUGCAAGGGGUUGCAAGGCUGGGAGCAACAGAGGGUCCUGGAACCUCAAAGUCCUGAGCCACAGGAAAGCUUCUCAUGGCUUCACCGUUUCCCUGAGCUGACUGCUUUAUUCCUCCCAAGUGUAACAGGCAAGGGGCGUGUCCUUCUCUAGUGUGUUCAUGCGGUUCAUGCUUUGUGAUUUCUAUAGCCAUGAAGAACCCCGACCCAAACUGCCAGGAAGACCUGCUUGAAACCUAACGCACUUAGACAUAUGGGACUAACCCUGAAAAUAAAAACAUCUUUAUGCUAAGAGGAAAGGAGUUUUUUUAAAUUAAAAAAAAUGUUUCUAGGUAUAUCAGCUUUCCUUUGGGGCUUGCUUUCAGAAUUCAGCAGCAGCUCAGGUUUACUGGGAGCAUGGAGCAUUCCGCUUGCAGAGAAGGGCUGGGUUAUGGGAACUCAGGAUUUGUGCAACAGCCUCACCACACGUGAAGGAAAACCUCUAGAGGAAUCACCAGCUACUCACGUUUCAAGAUAUUUCUUCUCUCCAGCUCUUCCACGGCAGGUCUUUGGCUCAGCCGUCUGCGGAAAAACACUAAAAUUACAUUUUGCACCAUAGUGG